UUUGAUUGCAAAGGGCUAAAG
rnacentral:miRNA from 1 species